GGAACUGGACAUCUCCCCCCAUUAUGCAGUCACUCACCCUUGGAAAAUAGGAUGCUCAGAAUGAGGACCCACAGGACUAUGGCAAUCAUGAGAGACACGGCUAGCCAGAGGAGUCUCCAUCCCCAGCGUCCACAGUACCCUGGAAUAACACAGAUGGACUCCUGAUCCCUCCUGUACCAGGACCAUCCUGGAUCCCUGCGCCCAAAGGAUCAAGCCCAGGACACUUGGGCUCCUCCCAGGAAAUUGGGAUUCAGAUAGACCAGCCAGAAGGACCUAGAGGGUAAAGGAAUUCUCUUCCUCACCUACGGUUUGGCAACUGGGACAGGAUAAAACUUCACUGGCUGGAUGCUGCUCGUUCCUGGAGUACACCAGCAGAGAGAUCCUGGACCCCUGAGAAGAGCUGGCUGGAGGUAAGGGUUCUUACCACGUCAGUGUGCCAGAUCUCUGCCUGCAGGGUUCAUUGGAAGGGAGAGUGGUGAGUUUUGUUUCCUUUUCUAAAUUUAGAUUAGCAGGACAAAAUAUUGGUGAAGCUAGCUUCUUGGACUAAGCGACUCUAGGAAAUUUGGUUUGAGUACUCGUUGAUUUAUUGAUCCUUUUCCUCCCAGAGGUGGUCACUAUUUUCCCAUGUUCUGUCUUUUGUGUUGUUUGUCAUAAAAAGGAAAAACCAAAGAGCAAGAUGCAGGCAUCUAUAAGCCUGUUGUCUGGGAAUAAAGCUGUUAAUGUGCAUAUAAGAUGAGGUUUUUUUUCUUUUGUCUUGUUCUACGUCGUGAGAGCUUGGCUUUGUGACCUCUUUGGUCUCUGCCAUCUGGAGGAUGCAUGUAAUGGCACGCAUCUUGGUGGCCGGUGGAAUAGCCUGGGACUCCAAGAUGCCCUCGCUUUGUCUGGCUGUGUCAGCUCUCAGGGGAGUUUUUCAUAAGGGGUCCAAAUUGUUUUCAUUACAGGCCUCUGUUGUUUCAACCUUCAUUCCUUAUUAGUGCAAUGAAGGCCUUUGCUUUCUUAGACUAUUUUUGGGAGUGAACUUUCUGGAUCUGGUGAGGGCUGCUUCUCUUGUACCCUCCUUUGGAGACAGCUCUUGCAUCCAUGGUUAAGCUGUAAAAGGCUUGUUGGUUUGAGUCGCUAUUAAGACCCUACUCCUGAAUGUGGCCAGAUGAUGGAUCAUUUACGUCGGAAAAACCUUUAAAUUGGAAAAAAAAUUUUCUGAGAGCUCUCAUCAUAAUUGUUUUAUUGGUACCUAUGAAAAAACCAAAUUAAAAAAAGAAAUACAAAAUAAAAUACUCACUAUCCUGAAGACCCUGAGUCAGGCUACAAUUAAAUUGCAAAAGUAAAAGUAUAAGUGUUGAUAAGAUUUAAAAUCUUGGAAUGGUUAAGGUAAUUUUAUAUAAAGAGGUUAUAUCAGCUUUGCCUAAAUGUGUGAUGUCUGACUGGGAAUGCUUCCCCUCUCCAAUAUUAUAAGACCAAAACCUAUUGAUAAAGUCGUAAUGAAAGCUAUGAUCAGAGAGAUAAGAGUUGAUGGAAUUCAGAUGAAAUUUUGUAGGAAAAUUGAUAUAUUUAGGGACUUUAUGUGAAGAGAUUGCAUCUCUUUUUGCCUGAUUGUGUUAUAGAUUGUAUUAUGUUAAUAGACAUCAUGUCUCACGGGGAACGUUUUCCCUGUCAGAUUGUAGGACAGCAUAUAAAUCUGCCCUUCAACAGUGUUGCUUAAACCUACUAAAGGGAAGUCAACAGGGUCGCCUAAGCCCACCCUAUAAGAGAUAAAAACUAGAGGCUAAUAUCAGGUGCUAGUAAAAAAGAUAAUAAAAGACCCCCAAGGUAAAUUGGUCUAGGGCUAAAUUGUACACUUAGAAGGAGGGACUUUGUUAAACACUUUGUGAAGACUUCAAAACGUGUGAUACAUUGUCCUAAAGUUUUAAAACAAUAGCUGUGGAAUCUUUGUGUUUGUGUGUCUAUAUGUAUGUUAUAUAUGUGUGAUUUUUUACCUCCUGAUGGUAACACCAUACUUAAGAGCUCCAUUUAAUUGGUUUAAAGUAAGUGCUUACAGAAAUUAUUUCUAAAUGUAAAAAAACUAACGCAAAUGUCUUUUAAGUUAACAUAAUAUAAAAUAAUCUUUGGUAAAUGAAAGCUUAUUUAAGUUUGUUGGUUUGAUUAAAAUAGGCAUAUCCUCAGAGUUAUCAACAUUGGAUAUGAUACCGACAAGCAGCCUGGGUUCACUAAUCAAAUAAGUUCAUGUUAUCCCUGUUACAAAUUUGUCAGCAAAAGGAUAGCUUUAAAUAAUAGCCGAUUUUGUCUAAUGUCUCACGAAGUUUUCAUGGGUAAUCUAAACAUAAUUUUUGGGAGCAAAUGAUUUAGAUGUAAGUGAGAUAAGUGUUGAUGGAUAAACUUUUAACAAUAAUUGUAGCUUAUGGCGUGUAUAUUUACAAUAACUUCCAAAAUCUCUUUGGUAACUUAAAACUUUAAGUUUAAUGAUAAAAAUUCAUCAAGUAUCUAGAUCAUUUCCAAACAAGAUAAACUACUGAAACAUUAAUUGCUAAUCAUGUCUAAGUUUACCUACUUUUUUCUUAUUACAGAGAAACUAAAAAGUGUUUGGGUCUAUUAGGAAACGUGUCUUGUGUUUAAUUAAAAGGUUGUACUAUAAAGUAACGUUUCUAGAAAUUAUAAGAAGUAUUUAUAAAUCUGCCAAGCCAGAGAAUGCUAAUGUAAAAGACAGUUCAUAAUUGCUCAUUUCUUAGUUUUCACUAAAAAUUUAGGUCUAUAAGGUUUAAGAAUUUUAACUAAUAUAUGUGACUAAAGCUACUAAAAAUUAGUAACAGAAACGUCUUUGUAUUCAAGGAAAGUAAAACGUAUGUUUUCAGUAAAGAAGGUAUAAAGAAUGGAAAUAUUUUUGUUUUUUUUUUUUAAGAAAGAUAAAUUUGCCCUAAAGUACUAGAAGCGAAGAAAAAAGGCAUGGGACAAAUUCUGAAUGCAAAAAGAAAGUUAUAGAAGAUUUGUGAAAGAAGAAUUCUGUAAAAAGAGUUUUGUAUAUGGUCACGUUAGCUAAGACUAAAAUGAACUUAAGUGUAUGAGUUUUUUUGUUAUUUGUUUGUUUGUUUGUUUGUUUUUGGUGAGAUACACUAGCCCUGAGCUAACACCUGCUGCCAAUCCUCCUCUUUUUGCUGAGGAAGAUUUGCCCUGGGCUAACACCCAUUCCCAUCUUCUUCUACCUUACAUGAGGGACGCCUGCCGCAGCAUGGCUUGAUAUGCGGUGCGUAGGUCUGUGCCUGGGAUCCAAUCAUGCAAACCCUGGGCCACUGAAGCAGAUCACGUGAACUUAACCACCAUGGCACUGCCCUGGCCCCAAGUGAAUGAGUUUUAAUAUCGAAAAUCCCUCCAGAAUUUGGAAACUCUUAGUGAGUGAAUAUCCUUAUUUUCAUGGCAAUAUAGUUAUUUGCAUAAGUUCAAUAAGAAUCUGUUCUCCUUAUAACAGGACAUAACUAGAAACAUUGGUUAUAUUACCAAAGCUUUGACUGGAAUGUCAUAUUUGAGAGAAACAUGCAUAGACUCAGAUAUGACCAGACAGCUUUUGAGGAACAAAGAUUGGACUUUAUGGAAUAAAGCCACUUGAAAAUAUUGGCCUGGUGCCUGGCUUACUGGGUUCCUGGCAACCUUAUCAGGUGAGUAAAGAAGGUCACUUCUCUGGCAGGUGCAAGGAAACUUGAAAUAUAUUGGGAAACCUCAAGAGAAGAGAGGAAUUCACCCAAAUAUGUAGAUAUUGCAGGCCAAGUCUGAUAACAAGUCCUUUGCUUGGCUUUCCUGGUCUCAAGAGGCCUUUAUCAUUCAAGCUGAGAUUCCAUAUAAAGAGUUCCAACAAAGCAAAUUUAAAAGAGCCUAUAGGAUCAAUUGUUAUUCUCACUGUACUUAUGUAAAUACUUGGGCCAAGUUUAUUAAAACUAGACUUACUUGGCAAACCAAUUAGCCUUAAUUUGGCUAUCUUUAGUAAAAAUGAGGGUGAUUUUGUUUUAUUUUAUUUAUUUAUUUUUGUGUGUGAGGAAGAUCAGCCCUGAGCUAACAUCCAUGCCAAUCCUCCUCUUUUUGCUGAGGAAGACUGGCACUGAGCUAACAUCCGUUCCCAUCUUCCUUGACUUUACGUGGGAUGCUGUCACAACAUGGCCUGAAAAACGGUGCAUCACUGCAUGCCCAGGAUCUGAACCCGGACCGCCAGCAGUGGAGUGUACGCACUUCACCACCACGCCACAGGGCCGGCCCCUAAAAUGAGGGCGAUUUUAGAGAAAAAAUUUACGUUUCAGUAGAAAGUAUAAUACAAUUGUAGAUAUUAGAUACGAGUUCUGCUGAUUGUUUUUGAGGUUUUUGUUUUAUACCUAUAAACUAGGCUGUUUCCUGAAUUCUUCUAGUCUCCUGAAAUAUCUGGCUACAAAUCUCCAAACUAAUGUUUUCAAUUAUUUCCAUCAUUUUCGUUGGGAAUCAUUGAGGACUGAAACCACCCUUGUUCCUGUAGCCCUACAAGUUGAAGCUGGACGACCUAAUAGAAACUUAAGGGAGAUUCAUUCCAGUUGCUGCAUAAGCCACACAUAAGGGUACCCGAACACUCGAUGAUGUCAUCAGAGACAUUUCAAACUGCAAAAGGUGCUUCAACACUGACACCUAGAAAUCUUGACUGGCCAUGCUCUGGGCUCAAAAACUGGGUUAUAAUUUGCUCCAACCAUUACCCUUAUUUUUCUUUUUGUUUCCAUAGAAAUACUUCUUAUUAAAUACCUGAUUAUUUGCUUCCACCUGAUUGCUUGCUUAUUAAAUACCUGAUUGCUUGGGAGCCCAUCUGCAUCAUUACCUCCUGAAAUGAAUUGAACUGGACUAACCUAUUAUCAGGACUAAGAGACAUGUUCAGUGAGAUGAAACAAUCUACCAACUCAGAUUCUGGACUGUGAAACUUCUUAAAGUUUCAAAGGCGGGACUGUGGGGGUCAGAAUUGGCCACCCCCAAAUACGUCUCAUUGCCUUGAUUAUUUUUAAGAACAAAAGACUCUGAAAGAAACUUUGACCUUCCCCCUAACUCCCUAAAAGAAUUUAAGAUAGAAGGCCUGUUCCAGGAUGGAACUAUCACCAUAAGAUAACAUUGUCUACAGAGAGCCCAGCAAACACUUGUUUAACAAACAUUUUCAUUUCCAACUAUUUCCUUCUUCCCCUUUAGAGUUUCAAACCACUACCCCCAACAUCCUCCUUUGUCUUUACUUGUAAAUGGUACUUAAGGUGACAGCUUUGGCCAUUCUGAUGAGUUACUCAGCUUUCCCGGGUUUUUCACAUGUGUACAUGUUAUAAAGCUUUGUUUGAUUUUCUCCUGUUAUUCUGUCUCAUGUCUAUUGAAUUCUUAGACCAGCCAGAAGGACCCAAAGGGUAGAGGAAUUGUCUUCCUCCCCUACACUGCUCAGCAUCUUACAAUGCACAGGACAGCCCCCACAGCAGAGAAUGAUCAGCUCCCAAUGUCAAUAAUGCUGAGAAUGAGAACCCCAAUAUUGUAUAUUAAAAAGUCAU